rnacentral:rRNA from 1 species
AGAGUUUGAUCCUGGCUCAGAACGAACGCUGGCGGCGUGCCUAACACAUGCAAGUCGAACGUGAAAGUCCUUCGGGAUGAGUAAAGUGGCGCACGGGUGAGUAAUGCGUAGAUAAUCUGCCUGGUGAUCUGGGAUAACAUCUCGAAAGGGGUGCUAAUACCGGAUAAGCCCACGGAGUCUUCGGACUUUGCGGGAAAAGGGGGGGACCUUCGGGCCUUCUGUCACCAGAUGAGUCUACGUACCAUUAGCUAGUUGGUGGGGUAAGAGCCCACCAAGGCUACGAUGGUUAGCUGGUCUGAGAGGAUGAUCAGCCACACUGGAACUGAGACACGGUCCAGACUCCUACGGGAGGCAGCAGUGGGGAAUUUUGCGCAAUGGGGGAAACCCUGACGCAGCAACGCCGCGUGAGUGAUGAAGGCCUUCGG